rnacentral:rRNA from 1 species
GUCGUAACAAGGUUUCCGUAGGUGAACCUGCGGAAGGAUCAUUACCAAAACUAGCUUUGGCUCUGCCACUGCCAGUACCCUUGUCUAUGCGUACCGUAUGUUGUUCCCUCGGUGGAGUCUCUCUGCCGCUGGGCAUCUUAAUAAACUCUUAUUGCCGUUAGAAGCAGUACACUUGUCUGAUUAUGGACUUUUAAAGACUAUCACAACUUUCAACAACGGAUCUCUUGGUUCUGGCAUCGAUGAAGAACGCAGCGAAAUGCGAUAAGUAGUGUGAAUUGCAGAAUUCAGUGAAUCAUCGAAUUUUUGAACGCACAUUGCGCCCCUUGGUAUUCCUUGGGGCAUGCCUGUUCGAGCGUCAUUUAACACUCUCAAGCUGUGCUUGGUGUUGGGCGUCUGUCCCCCGGUAGCGGGGACUCGCCUCAAAGUCAUUGGCGGCGUGUUUAUGCCUGCUUCCCGCGCAGCACUUUGCGCACUUUGGGAAGACUUGGUGGCAUAGCUCGCACUCCAGUAAGCUCUUUUUACUGUAGUUUGACCUCGAAUCAGGUAGGGAUACCCGCUGAACUUAAGCAUAUCAAUA